AAUUGAUUAUCUAGGCUUCUUUCUACCAAGCAAUUAAAGCCAAAAACGGUAAACUAGUAUUGCUCAGUUUUCACUGCAAAUUGACCACCCAAUCCCAGCCAUGGCGCCUUGUGUUCUUCCUUUUUAGGAGCUGCUGCUUCCUCUCUAUGGUAAAUCUGCAAAGACGAAAAUCUCAUAAAUAGAAGUCGAAACAGAAACAAGCAAGGACAGAGACUCAAAAGGGGAAAACUAUUACCAGAAACAAUUGGCUGGUUAGGCAUUUGAUUUUCCUGGAUGGAAGUUUUUCCGAAACUCGGAA
rnacentral:lncRNA from 1 species